GUUAUCAUGGAUAAGUUUUCAUAAAGUGUGUUGUAUGCUGGCAGUCUCAUAAACACCCACAUUGUGAGAAUAAGUCUGUGGUGAAAAAUAUUGUGUUCCAGUUUUCACCUGGUUAAAUGAUAUUUGAAAACACUAAGAAUUUUUUUAUCUCCCAUUUUCAACAGGUGAUGUUCUAUCAGGAUGGAGUCUGAUGUCUUGUCAGAUCAUGUAAUGUAGCUUCCAGAAUUGAGCCAGAGCCAGAGAAACAUCCUGGCAACUUGGAAGACCAAAUGAUUGGCAAGAAGGCUCAAGAAAUCCUACAGACAGAAGACACAUCUAGUAGAAGGCCACACAGCUCUUCUGUUCCGCCUAUUCAGUUUUUAAUAUUUUCCACACUUUUGUAUGUCUAAUUUUCUAAAUUCCAAUAUCAACCCAAACUCUGUUUUUAGGAAAAAAUGCAAAAAUUCAAAAUUAGGAUGAAAUUUAUGCCCAGAAACAACCAAAUUUUUUUGUUAACCAACAAUGUAGGAAUCACUACAAACUCAGUUUUUUCUUUUAGCAGUGAGAGACUUUAAACAGCA